UACAGAGGUCUCAAGCGUUGUUCGGAUUCAUUGGGCGUAAAGGGUGUGUAGGUGGCGCCGUAAGUCGGGUGUGAAAUUUCGGAGCUUAACUCCGAAACUGCAUUCGAUACUGCCGUGCUUGAGGACUGGAGAGGAGACUGGAAUUUACGGUGUAGCGGUGAAAUGCGUAGAUAUCGUAAGGAAGACCGGUGGCGAAGGCGGGUCUCUGGACAGUUCCUGACGCUGAGGCACGAAGGCCAGGGGAGCAAACGGG
rnacentral:rRNA from 1 species